UUUAUUGCUGUGAUUAGAAGUAGUACUAUAUAUAAGUAUUUUAAGAGAGUUAAUGGUUGGUGAAAAUUAAUAAUACAUUUAUAGGAACUUGUCUAUGAGCUUACUUGUUAAAAGCAAGUACGGAUUCUUAUCCGUUAUUUAAAUAAGUGAAGAAUAUUUUUAUGUUCUUAAUAAGAGUGGUACCACGGAAUUUAUACCUUUCGUCUCUUUU
rnacentral:ncRNA from 1 species